rnacentral:rRNA from 1 species
GACGAACGCUGGCGGCGUGCUUAACACAUGCAAGUAGAAGGAAGUGGCGAACGGGUGAGUAACGCGUAAUCAACCUGCCCUUCAGAGGGGGACAACAGUUGGAAACGACUGCUAAUACCGAAUACCGAAGGGGGAGAUUGCGUCUGAUUAGCUAGUUGGAGGGGUAUCGGCCCACCAAGGCGAUGAUCAGUAGCCGGUCUGAGAGGAUGAACGGCCACAUUGGGACUUGGGCACGGCCCAGACUCCUACGGGAGGCAGCAGUGGGGAAUCUUCCGCAAUGGACGAAAGUCUGACGGAGCAACGCCGCGUGAGUGAUGACGGCCUUCGGGUUGUAAAGCUCUGUUAAUCGGGACGCGGUACCGGAAUAGAAAGCCACGGCUAACUACGUGCCAGCAGCCGCGGUAAUUC